rnacentral:rRNA from 1 species
GAGAAAUGAGAAGAAGGUGGUGCAUGGCUGUCGUCAGCUCGUGUCGUGAGAUGUUGGGUUAAGUCCCGCAACGAGCGCAACCCUUAUCCUUAUUUGCCAGCACGUAAUGCUGAGACCUCUAGGGAGACUGCCGGGGAAAACCCGGAGGAAGGUGGGGAUGACGUCAAAUCAUCAUGCCCCUUACGAUCUGGGCUACACACGUGCUACAAUGGUCCGUACAAAGGGCAGCGAACGGGUGACCUGGAGCGAAUCCCAAAAAGCCGAUCCCAGUUCGGAUUGUAGGCUGAAACUCGCCUACAUGAAGUUGGAAUUACUAGUAAUCGCGAAUCACAAUGUCGCGGUGAAUACGUUCCCGGGUCUUGUACACAC